GACAGAGGGUGCAAACGUUGUUCGGAAUUACUGGGCGCAAAGCGUGUGUAGGCGGUCCGCUAAGUCGGGUGUGAAAUCCCUGGGCUCAACCCAGGAAGUGCACUCGAAACUGGCGGGCUAGAGUAUCGGAGAGGUUGGUGGAAUUCUCGGUGUAGAGGUGAAAUUCGUAGAUAUCGAGAGGAACACCGGUGGCGAAGGCGGCCAACUGGACGAAUACUGACGCUGAGACACGAAAGCGUGGGGAGCAAACAGG
rnacentral:rRNA from 1 species